rnacentral:rRNA from 1 species
UUGAACGCUGGCGGCAGGCCUAACACAUGCAAGUCGAACGGUAACAGGAAGAAGCUUGCUUCUUUGCUGACGAGUGGCGGACGGGUGAGUAAUGUCUGGGAAACUGCCUGAUGGAGGGGGAUAACUACUGGAAACGGUAGCUAAUACCGCAUAACGUCGCAAGACCAAAGAGGGGGACCUUCGGGCCUCUUGCCAUCGGAUGUGCCCAGAUGGGAUUAGCUAGUAGGUGGGGUAACGGCUCACCUAGGCGACGAUCCCUAGCUGGUCUGAGAGGAUGACCAGCCACACUGGAACUGAGACACGGUCCAGACUCCUACGGGAGGCAGCAGUGGGGAAUAUUGCACAAUGGGCGCAAGCCUGAUGCAGCCAUGCCGCGUGUAUGAAGAAGGCCUUCGGGUUGUAAAGUACUUUCAGCGGGGAGGAAGGGAGUAAAGUUAAUACCUUUGCUCAUUGACGUUACCCGCAGAAGAAGCACCGGCUAACUCCGUGCCAGCAGCCGCGGUAAUACGGAGGGUGCAAGCGUUAAUCGGAAUUACUGGGCGUAAAGCGCACGCAGGCGGUUUGUUAAGUCAGAUGUGAAAUCCCCGGGCUCAACCUGGGAACUGCAUCUGAUACUGGCAAGCUUGAGUCUCGUAGAGGGGGGUAGAAUUCCAGGUGUAGCGGUGAAAUGCGUAGAGAUCUGGAGGAAUACCGGUGGCGAAGGCGGCCCCCUGGACGAAGACUGACGCUCAGGUGCGAAAGCGUGGGGAGCAAACAGGAUUAGAUACCCUGGUAGUCCACGCCGUAAACGAUGUCGACUUGGAGGUUGUGCCCUUGAGGCGUGGCUUCCGGAGCUAACGCGUUAAGUCGACCGCCUGGGGAGUACGGCCGCAAGGUUAAAACUCAAAUGAAUUGACGGGGGCCCGCACAAGCGGUGGAGCAUGUGGUUUAAUUCGAUGCAACGCGAAGAACCUUACCUGGUCUUGACAUCCACGGAAGUUUUCAGAGAUGAGAAUGUGCCUUCGGGAACCGUGAGACAGGUGCUGCAUGGCUGUCGUCAGCUCGUGUUGUGAAAUGUUGGGUUAAGUCCCGCAACGAGCGCAACCCUUAUCCUUUGUUGCCAGCGGUCCGGCCGGGAACUCAAAGGAGACUGCCAGUGAUAAACUGGAGGAAGGUGGGGAUGACGUCAAGUCAUCAUGCCCUUUAUGUCAUGGGCUGCACACGUGCUACAAUGGCGCAUACAAAGAGAAGCGACCUCGCGAGAGCAAGCGGACCUCAUAAAGUGCGUCGUAGUCCGGAUUGGAGUCUGCAACUCGACUCCAUGAAGUCGGAAUCGCUAGUAAUCGUGGAUCAGAAUGCCACGGUGAAUACGUUCCCGGGCCUUGUACACACCGCCCGUCACACCAUGGGAGUGGGUUGCAAAAGAAGUAGGUAGCUUAACCUUCGGGAGGGCGCUUACCACUUUGUGAUUCAUGACUGGGGUG